GAACAAGUUUCCAGCCUAGACACAAACAGUCGCUCAGCUUGGUCUAAACAUCUUGGCAUGCCAGGUGGUCAAUAUUGGCUACCCCAGACCCUCCCUUCCCCUGCACCCAGUCCUCUCAUUCACUUCCCAUCCAGCCAGGUGGGGUGUGCAUCCUCUACAGCGUCCUGGAUCUAGCCCACGUGAGGAACCAGAAGCUAAUGGGACCAGUCUGGCUGCAGACAGAAGACCAGGGGGCUCCCUGUCCGCUCAGAGGGUCUCCCGGAGAAUCGCUCAGAGACAGGCUCCCCAGGCUGUCAGCACUCAUCAGUUUCCUGGACCAUCACCAGCCUGUUCCAGGACCGAAGCUCAUCACUUCUUUCCCAACACUUCCAGAGGCGAUCUGGAUCGGAUCAGCUGGGAUGAGGCAACUGAGGCCCAGUGAAGUGACUUGCCCAAGGCUAUGCAGCAGGAGAGCCAAAAUGGAAGACUGCGGGGAGCUCAGAAGUGGAUGUCCCGGAGCCGCUGACCUUUCGCUGACCACUCUCUGGGCACCAGGACUCAAUCAACCACCCCCGUGGACCCCAGCAACCCCCCACCCCACUGCCCAAGACUGCUUCCUUUUGCAGUUAAACAUGGCCUUUCCCAGGGACCCGAGCCUUCUGGCUCUUGGUUGGCUCCUCCAGGAUGUGAUGGGACUUGGGCUGAAUGGAUGUGUGAGUGUCACUGGGGACUUAGGGUGGGGUGAGAGGCAGUGUAUGUGAGGA